ensembl:lncRNA
CUUUGCUCAAGCUGCCCACCCUACCCCAAAAGCCUUUAAACAAAUGCUCUGCAGCUGUCCUGGGCAGUCAGAGCUAAAGAGACUGAUAAUCUCCCAGAAUCAAAAGCAGGGUGGUACCUAAAUGUCACUAAACCAACCUUUCAUUUUACAGAUGAUCAAACAGAGGUCAAAGAGAGAAAAACCAUUGUCUAAGAACACAUAGCUCCUGCUCUUAUCUCCCAGGGCAGAGCUGUACCCUCUAAGGAGCCUGCCUUCUACCGCUUCUCCGCGAGACUGGAUUCUGACUUUAAAGUUAGCAUGUGGGCACGUGCAUCCGCGUCUCUUUGCCUCUGUCUACUACAGCAGUAAGAACAUGGCACAGUUGCUUUUCUGUCUGCUAAUUCAAUCCAGUGUUCUUCAAUGACUACUUAGUGCAAGGUCUGGGCAAGAUACUUCAGAAGAAACUUAGAAUAUGAAUCAACAAUCUGUAAGGAACUCACAAUGCAGGACACAAGAGAAGAGGAUUUGGUGUCAGAUUCGGAUCCACCAAAAAAUCUGGAACCUGAAUGGACAAGACAGUCAAGGAGACACAGGGAGAACCAGCUGACACUCAUCUGCCUGCCUUAUAACUACAAAGCUCCAUAAACAGAAGCUUCCAAGAUGUUAG